ACCAGACUCCUACGGGAGGCAGCAGUGGGGAAUAUUGCACAAUGGGGGGAACCCUGAUGCAGCGACGCCGCGUGAGCGAAGAAGUAUUUCGGUAUGUAAAGCUCUAUCAGCAGGGCAGAAAAUGACGGUACCUGACUAAGAAGCACCGGCUAAAUACGUGCCAGCAGCCGCGGUAAUACGUAUGGUGCAAGCGUUAUCCGGAUUUACUGGGUGUAAAGGGAGCGUAGACGGCUGUGCAAGUCUGAAGUGAAAGGCCGGGGCCCAACCCCGGGAGUGCUCUUGGAACUGCGCGGCUGGAGUGCAGGAGGGGCAGGCGGAAUUCCUGGUGUAGCGGUGAAAUGCGUAGAUAUCAGGAGGAACACCGGUGGCGAAGGCGGCCUGCUGGACUGCGACUGACGUUGAGGCCCGAAAGCGUGGGGAGCAAACAGGAUUAGAUACCCGAGUA
rnacentral:rRNA from 1 species